rnacentral:rRNA from 1 species
GUGAACGCUGGCGGCGUGCUUAACACAUGCAAGUCGAACGAUUAAAGCUCACUUCGGUGAGUGUAUAGAGUGGCGAACGGGUGAGUAACACGUGGGAAACCUGCCCCUUUCUUCGGGAUAACUUCGGGAAACCGUUGCUAAUACCGGAUACUCCGGGAUGGUCGCAUGGCCGACCCGGGAAAGCUUUAUGUGGAAAGGGAUGGUCCCGCGGCCCAUUAGCUUGUUGGUGGGGUAAUGGCCUACCAAGGCAAUGAUGGGUAGCCG